UCUUCGGAUUGUAAACUUCUGUUGAGUGGAAGAAAGUCUAAAUUCUAAUACAAUUUAGGUAUGACGGUACCACUUUAGAAAGCACCGGCUAACCUCGUGC
rnacentral:rRNA from 1 species